rnacentral:rRNA from 1 species
CCCUUAGAUGUCCUGGGCUGCACGCGCGCUACACUGGAAGUUACGGAUUGAGAUACUACCUUGUCCGAAAUGGUCCGGGUAAUCACCUAAAAGCUUGUCAUAAUUGGAAUGGAUUAUUGUAACUAGUAAUCCUGAACGAGGAAUUCCUAGUAAGUCCCAGUCAACAGCUGGUACUGAUUACGUCCCUGCCCUUUGUACACACCGCCCGUCGCUACUACUGAUUGGACGUUUAAGCAAGAUUUUUAAACACUGACAGUGUGUAGUUCACGCUAUACUACAGUGAGAAGAAGAAGAUCGAGCUUACUUGUCUAGAGGAAGUAAAAGUCGCAACA